AGAGUUUGAUCAUGGCUCAGAUUGAACGCUGGCGGCAUGCCUUACACAUGCAAGUCGAGCGGCAGCGCGGGGGCAACCCUGGCGGCGAGCGGCGAACGGGUGAGUAAUGCAUCGGAACGUGUCCUCUUGUGGGGGAUAACCAGUCGAAAGACUGGCUAAUACCGCAUGAGCUCGAAAGAGGAAAGCAGGGGAUCCGCAAGGACCUUGCGCGAGAGGAGCGGCCGAUGCCCGAUUAGCUAGUUGGUGGGGUAACGGCCUACCAAGGCGACGAUCGGUAGCUGGUCUGAGAGGACGACCAGCCACACUGGGACUGAGACACGGCCCAGACUCCUACGGGAGGCAGCAGUGGGGAAUUUUGGACAAUGGGGGCAACCCUGAUCCAGCCAUGCCGCGUGUGUGAAGAAGGCCUUCGGGUUGUAAAGCACUUUCGGCCGGAACGAAAUCGCGCGAUCUAAUAAGUCGCGUGGAUGACGGUACCGGAAGAAGAAGCACCGGCUAACUACGUGCCAGCAGCCGCGGUAAUACGUAGGGUGCGAGCGUUAAUCGGAAUUACUGGGCGUAAAGUGUGCGCAGGUGGCCGCGCAAGUCGAGUGUGAAAUCCCCGAGCUUAACUUGGGAAUUGCGCUCGAAACUACGUGGCUCGAGUGUGGCAGAGGAAGGUGGAAUUCCACGUGUAGCGGUGAAAUGCGUAGAGAUGUGGAG
rnacentral:rRNA from 1 species